rnacentral:rRNA from 1 species
CACGUGGACAACCUGCCUCAAGGCUGGGGAUAVCAUUUGGAAACAGAUGCUAAUACCGAAUAAAACUUAGUGUCGCAUGACACAAAGUUAAAAGGCGCUUCGGCGUCACCUAGAGAUGGAUCCGCGGUGC